rnacentral:rRNA from 1 species
GAUGAACGCUGGCGGCGUGCCUAAUACAUGCAAGUCGAGCGAACAGAUAAGGAGCUUGCUCCUGUGACGUUAGCGGCGGACGGGUGAGUAACACGUGGGUAACCUACCUAUAAGACUGGGAUAACUUCGGGAAACCGGAGCUAAUACCGGAUAACAUUUGGAACCGCAUGGUUCUAAAGUGAAAGAUGGUUUUGCUAUCACUUAUAGAUGGACCCGCGCCGUAUUAGCUAGUUGGUAAGGUAACGGCUUACCAAGGCGACGAUACGUAGCCGACCUGAGAGGGUGAUCGGCCACACUGGAACUGGGACACGGUCCAGACUCCUACGGGAGGCAGCAGUAGGGAAUCUUCCGCAAUGGGCGAAAGCCUGACGGAGCAACGCCGCGUGAGUGAUGAAGGGUUUCGGCUCGUAAAACUCUGUUAUUAGGGAAGAACAAAUGUGUAAGUAACUGUGCACGUCCUGACGGUACCUAAUCAGAAAGCCACGGCUAACUACGUG